CAGGAAUCCUGGCUGCACGCACUGAUGGCAUCAGCAGGGGCCCAUAGGACGGAUCCAGGGCAGAACCAGCAGAAGGAGGUAAAUUGAUAGCAGAGAUAUGGAGAUUGAAGCAGGGAAGAAGCCCAAGAUCUCACAGCUGGGUUCCACACGAAAGAACCUAGCUGCAUCUUUUCACUGAGUGAAGACUAGCCUAAGAAGUACUCUGAAAUAUAAGUAUUCAGAAGUCUGACAUGUCCAUGUUCUCACUUCAUGAAUUUCCAGGACACAAUUUUCUCACCACAGAGGAAAGCUGCUGUGACUUGAACCAGGCACCAUAUACAUAAUUUGACUAACAUAUUUAGGAUAUUGCCAUGGUGUUCCAAUGUCUCCUUUCUCCAGCUUCCCUGAUGACUCUUCCCCUUGCUCCCUGUUAACCCUACACCAGGGCGAUCCUCAUUCACCCCAUUCAUUCUAUGGAUGGGCAGCUCUUUGGUGUCUCACAUUCAAGUCUGUUCCCCAAAGAAUCUCCAAGGAUCUCAAAACCCUUGGGGGAAAUUAAAAAAAAUUCUCCAAGAGGCAAAGGAUGGACAUGCACAUUGUUCUUCAAGUCUUCAAACAGUCCAGGCAAACUUUUGAUGGAAUGACUUUGCCUUGUCACCAUCACAUCCAUCAGAAAAUAGUACUUAAAGUCAAACUCACUGGCAUCGGGGCACGUAUGUUUUCUUUCAGAAUUGUCUCCCUUUGAUAUCUAAAAAGUAGCUGCUAAUGACCAACAAAGAAAGUCAUGUAAGCUGUGAGAAGAAAAUUCAAUUUGCCUUCAAUGGUGGCCACUUGUAGAAUUUUCUGUCAUACCCACCACGAUGGCUGCCAACAUUAAAGUUAGAACCCACACAAAAAGUUACAGAGGCUCGUUACAUGCAGCUUUGCUGCCCUGAACCCGCCACUUUGCUGUCACAGAUUGAAUCUCUGGUACCAGACUGAACCUUCAUUCUGCUUAUAACUUUCAUCGCCUGUUGGAGCCAGAAUCCCAUUAUGAAAACUACUAAUCCCCCCCCCCACCUCCAGGUACAUGCCAGAGAUACUGAGCUGCCCUUAUUAAAAUCCCCCAUUAAAAUGUCAAAACUACAAAGUAUAUGUCAUUUUCCGGGAUGCUUUCCUUAUAGUUCCUUUUAUUUAUAUAUACGUGGACCCAAUUUUAUUUUAUAUAUGCUUAUGCAUUUAGAGAUGCAUGCACAAAUGUGAAUAAUGGGCAAAUUCCUUACCCAAAAUAUUACCCUAUUUAUGAAUCAUUGUAUUGUAAUUAGUGAACACAUUGUCAAUGAUAGUGGAAAUCUAUUUUUAAAAACAUGCUCCAUAAAGACUGAACAAAGCUUUAAAAUGCCUCAGCGAAAAAUAAAAUUAGAAGCAAUUUAAUGUUUUC